rnacentral:rRNA from 1 species
GAUGAACGCUAGCGGCGUGCCUAAUACAUGCAAGUCGAGCGGACGGACGAGAAGCUUGCUUCUCUGAUGUUAGCGGCGGACGUGUGAGUAACGCGUGGAUAACCUACCUAUAAGACGGGGAUAACUUCGGGAAACCGGCGCUAAUGCCGGAGAAUAUUUGAAACCGCAUUGUUCAUAAGUGAAAGACGGUCUUUCUGUCACUUAUAUACGGAUCAGCAUUCCAUUAGUUAGUUGGUAAGGUAACAGCUUACCAAGGCAACGAUGCAUAGGUGAUAUGAGAGGACGUACCCCCACACUGGUACUGCGACACGGACCAGACUCCUACGGGAGGCAGCAGUAAGUAAUAUUGGGCAAUGGCCGCGAGGCUGACCCAGCCAUGCCGCGUGCAGGAAGACGGCCUUAGGGGUUGUAAACUGCUUUUAUACGGGAAUAAUAGAGUGUACGCGUACAUUUAUGCAAGUAUCGUAUGAAUAAGCAUCGGCUAACUCCGUG